rnacentral:piRNA from 1 species
UACUGAGACCUCUGGUGGAUUGGAUGU